CUUCUACUUGAGGAUACUAGCUGGCAUCCAGGAUGUCACUGUUGCAAGCAGUCACUUUCUUCUCCUUCUGGACUCUUGGACUUGGAUUGUCAAAAGUGGAGCAGUCUCAGAUAUCUGUUUUCUCAGAAGUAAAAAAAAGUGUUUAUAUACAUUGCAAGAUAUGGAGCACAAAUUUUGAAAAUGAAGUCAUUCACUGGUACUGGCAAAAACAAAAUCAGGCUUUGGAGCAUCUGGUUCACGUUGCUUCAACAAAAUCCCCAGCAAAAUCCUCAGUUCGAGGUUCUGUGGUUGGGGGGAGCAGCAAAGUUGAAGCAAUAAAAGAUCCUCAAAGUUUCUCUUCAACUCUAAUCAUAAAUUUUAUAGAAAAAGAAGAUGAAGCCAUUUACUACUGUGCUGGGUGGGACCCACAGUAUUUGACUUGUUGA